UUUUCUUCUCAUGAGAGGGGAUGAUUUCUUGAAAGCAAGUAGCUUUUUCCUCUCUCUCUGCAGCAAAUGUUAUUUCCUUUGGAGGAAGAUAAUACCAAAUGAGACCACAGGCAUGAUGUCAAAAAGCCAUGAAAUGGGAAGGAACUGCAGCUGUUGAGGAAGCAAGAUGUAACCCAAUGCCUCCUAGACAAUCCAGAAAAAGUCAUGUCAAGUGGGACUGCCCCCCCUUCAAAGUCCUAAUCCUAACACCUCAUAAUGGAAGAGAUGAGAGGGUCUUAGGGAGGCAGUCAACUGAAAUGAGAUCUUAGAUUGCUGUAAUUCAGCAUGGUUAAUAUUCUUACAUGGGGAAGAAAUGGGGAAGGAGAGGGGGGAGGAAAGGAAGAGAGAGACAAUUUGCAAGGCUCUUUAAACCAGAGAAUAGUAGAGACUGCCGAAACUGGGGAUGGGGGGAGAAGUACACAUCACAUUCUUCCUCACAGGAAGCAAACUUGCUGGCAUCUCGUCUUGGAUCUUGGAGUCCAGAACAAAGGACUCUAAGCCACCCAUGACAUAGUGUUUUGUUGCAGCUGGCCCUGACUAUUUCAUCCCCUCUGCUGUUCAACUAUAAUCCUCAAACACAUUUCCCCAGGUGAUUGCAAUUGCUUUCAGAAAAAAAGAGAGAGAAAGAAAAAAAAACUGACGAAAUGAAGAAUGUGAAGGAGAAAGAUUAAUCAAACUAUGGACAAUGAGGUGAACAAGAUCAAGCCAGUCAACAUUGUAGCACCGAGUAGGCUUCAGCAGUUCACAGUGGAGCAUGGAGGAUAGCCCGGCAUGACACAUAGUCACUCCUGUCAUGGCAGCUGCCACUGUUACAGUAGACUCUUCCUUCAAGAACUUUCCUCUACAUAGACCCCUUUGAGGAAGCAUGUCUUUUAGUGGCCCUUGGAACUAAUUACAGAGAGAUUAUGUGGCAGGCAGAAUUCUGAAGAUGCUUCAGAAGGUUGCUGCACCCUGUUGACACACACUAAUCUCUGUAGUGCUGUGAAAGGAUCCUGCAUAUAUAAUUAAAGUGACUUGUCAUCUGAACCUAAAAUUGGGAGAUGUUCAUCCUGGUGGAGCCAGAAUAAUUCAUGUGAGCCUUUACACACACCAACAGCCAUGCUAGGGAUGAUCAGACAUGGCCUUGAAUGUGCAUAGCAAGCACUCUACUUGAGCUACAUCCCAUCCCUUUCAUAGAAACCUUUAAGGGAAGCUGCAGAUAGCAGAAGUCUAAGGAACAAGUAGAAAUGGAACCUGGGCAUAUUUAAGCAUGAGAAGGACUCAGCCUGACAUUGCUAAAGAAGACCCACACAGAGAGCCUCUGGAAAUAAAAGACAUGGCCAUUGAGGGAGUAAGGAACUGAACUUGGCCUACUGGAUGAGCCUGGAUGUUCCAUUGUCCCUCAGACAUCCCAGGAUGUAACACAGGCUGACCAGCACCCCAGUUUCGCCUUGUGAUAAUCAGAGCAGAAGAUCAGUGGAACCCAGUAUGUCUGGACUUUUGACCUCCCAAGCUGUAUAAUAAUAAACGGCUGCUGUUUUACGAUGUUAAAUUCAUGAUGAUUUGUUAUCACAACCACAGAAAGCUAGUACAUCCUCCCAAGCAGAUUGUUCUAUCUUUA
ensembl:lncRNA